GUCAGGAUGGCCGAGUGGUCUAAGACGCUGCAUUCAGGUCGCUGUCUUCGUGGGAGGCGUGAGUUUGAGUCCCACUUCUGACA
rnacentral:tRNA from 2 species